AAUUCAUCCAAUCAACAGUCGAGUGCCAUAAGAGCUGAGUCGUCACACCGGUUCUGCUGAGCGCCAGUUAGCAAAAGACCUGGUUGGGCUGUGGAAGAUCACGGCUUGGACUUGAAUCCCAUUUCCAGCUAUAGGAGAUGCAGGUGAGCCUCAUGGCGUGACCCAGGACGGCCUCUGUGUCUGACGGGAUAUCCACACACACCUGGCUGCUGAUCUGCACUGGAGAAGGCCGAUACUGUUACCAGAAUGCAUUCUGGGCAACCAUGGAUCACUCGGGGCUAUAGCCCCAAGUAUUUUAGCCCUGAUGCCUACUAUCUUCCUUCAAAAAAAAAAAAGUCAAGCCCCAAGUAAACUUGACUUGAUCUUUUCAAUAGCUAGAAACGCCCCCUGUGGGCAACUAAAUGUCUUUGAAUCAGUAGUCCUUAGAUAGCCCAGCCAAGCAGCAAUGGCCCACUGCCGGUGACUAAUCUGUAUAAUACUGUAAGCUUCAUAGCUCACAUGGCAUUUAGUCAUCACAAACUGUAUGAAAAAUAAAUAACGUUUUGCAAUAAUGGUCUUCACAUUCCGGCUAACGGGAAUGCUGUGCUGUAUCAGGGGUGGAGCCAAAAACACAGGAAUACACAACAGGCAACGAUAAAAUUGUUUAAGAUAAACUGUAUUAAACCUGUUGUAUUGAA